rnacentral:SRP_RNA from 1 species
CCGUGCUAAGUGGGGAGGUAGCGGUGCCCUGUACUCGCAAUCCGCUAUAGCGGGACCGAAUCCCUUCUUUAGGCUUUGUUUCCGUGAGGUCUGCCCUGAGUAAGUGGUGUAGACGUCCGGGUUCUGCGCAACGAAAACCCGUGAACCCUGUCAGGUCCGGAAGGAAGCAGCAGUAAGCGGACUCUUUCGUGUGCCGCAGAGUCGCCUGGGCCGAGCUAACUGCUCGGGUAACGCUCAUGGAAGCAUUGCCGACAGAAGGUGCACGG